AUUGAACGCUGGCGGCAGGCCUAACACAUGCAAGUCGAACGAGUGGCGGACGGGUGAGUAAUGUCUGGGAAACUGCCUGAUGGAGGGGGAUAACUACUGGAAACGGUAGCUAAUACCGCAUACCAUCGGAUGUGCCCAGUUGGGAUUAGAUAGUAGGUGGGGUAACGGCUAACCUAGGCGAAGAUCCCUAGCUGGUCUGAGGGGAUGAUCCACCAAACGUGAACUAGUACACGGUCCAGACUCCUACGGGAGGCAGCAGUGGGGAAUAUUUCACAAUAGGCGCAAGCCUGAUGCAGCCAUGCCGCGUGUAUGAGUAAGGCCUUCGUGUUGUAAAGUACUUUCAGCGUGGAGGCGUUACCCGCAGAAGAAGCACCGGCUAACUCCGUGCCAGCCGCCGCGGUAAUUC
rnacentral:rRNA from 1 species